GACGAACGCUGGCGGCGUGCUUAACACAUGCAAGUCGAACGCUGAAGCUCAGCUUUUGUUGGGUGGAUGAGUGGCGAACGGGUGAGUAACACGUGAGUAACCUGCCUCCUUCUUUGGGAUAACGCCCGGAAACGGGUGCUAAUACUGGAUAUUCACUGGUCUUCGCAUGGGGGUUGGUGGAAAGGGUUUUUCUGGUGGGGGAUGGGCUCGCGGCCUAUCAGCUUGUUGGUGGGGUGAUGGCCUACCAAGGCUUUGACGGGUAGCCGGCCUGAGAGGGUGACCGGUCACAUUGGGACUGAGAUACGGCCCAGACUCCUACGGGAGGCAUCAGUGGGGAAUAUUGCACAAUGGGCGCAAGCCUGAUGCAGCGACGCCGCGUGAGGGAUGGAGGCCUUCGGGUUGUGAACCUCUUUCGCUCAUGGUCAAGCCGCAACAAUGGUUGUGGUGAGGGUAGUGGGUAAAGAAGCGCCGGCUAACUACGUG
rnacentral:rRNA from 1 species